GGCAUGUUCCUGGGGGAGGCAGGGUGCGGGAUGCAGGGUAAUGAAUCGGACCACAGGGGUCACAGUGCCACUGUCACCUCUUCUCAUGCGCGGUAAUGAGCUGAGGUCAACGGAGAGGAAGUGCCUGGCAAAAACCCGGAGAAACAACAUCCCUCUGCAGCACUGCUGCUCCCCAGCAAACCUCAUUAACUGGGCUUCAACCCCAGCUACAACCCUGGCCUUUAUACACACGCAUAACUGGAGUGCCAUUGAGCAAAGCACAUCAUCAACAAAUGCCCCAGUGGAGCUGUUCAGUGGCUGAGGAUCAGACUGUGGUUUUCCUGGAUAGCUUUCAGGCUGAUUCGACCUCUUUGACUGUGUGGCUGUGAGAAGAAUGAGUUUGAUUGACAUCUCCCUCCAGUGUUAAGGUUCCGUGUGCCAGUCCUGAUGUGGGUGUGCUGAGCUGGAAUCAGUUCCCCCGAAAGAUUCGAAAUGGAAAGCCUUGUUUCAGCCUCUCUGCACCAAAUUAGAUUGCGUCCUUGUGUCAAGGGGAGCUGUUUGUUUUUGUCGAGUUUCUCUUUGUCGAAAGGUCAAAUGAGCAGGCCUAGGAGUGUCCCAAGCAGCCUUUUGUCACACAUUAUUUAUGGGUAUUCUACAACAGAUGGGUACAGCAAAGGCCUAGGCUAUACAGUUGAUAUAGGGAUACAAGGCUGUUCAUUCUCUGCCAAAUGGCAUUUUGGUAUGGGUCAAAACAGGAGCAAGUCUACUAAACCGUAAGACUGUAACUGUAAGAGGAGAAAUUUAUGAGGAAAUACACACAGAGGAAGAACCAGUACAGAAAAACAGUGAAGUUUGUGAGAUCUUAAGUACAAAACUAAAAGAAAAAUACAAUAUUGGCAAAGGACAGUUUGGCACAACAGAUGCUGACUGGAUGUUUUUUUCCCUCUGCAGCUGAGAGGGUGUUGGAAUAAAUCAGUGUCAAACUCAGAGCUAAUGUCAAACACGUGAUGGUCAGUGACAGUUUGAGUGAUGACUGCAUUAUUGAGCUAUAAACUGCAGUCCCAAUUUGACAAUAGUAAUGGUAUGCUUCCUGGACAGAUUUUUGUCAGGCAUGAAAGGAAGCUAUAUGUCAAACUGUUCUAUAUCUACAGGAUGUGGCGCUACAGAGGGGGGAAAAAAAGGGUUCCGCUUUGUUUUUCAUUUCACAGUUUGAGAUCUCCAAAUAGUGAAUGUAAUCACUCAUUUGGCGGUCAGUGGAUGAAGACAGUCACAUUUUGAGAUGAAAAAAUGGUAAUGACAUUUCAUUAAAAUAAACCAUUAUCAUGAUUAUCUGCCAGUAACAAUUUGCAGCUAAUUAUGUUAAUAUACUGUUCAUGUAAUAACAUUUCCAUGUCUAAGGACAGAGGCUGUCGAAUGCUGUGCAGAUUGUAAAGCCCCCUGAGGCAAAUUUGUGAUUUGUGAUAUUGGGCUGUAUAAAUAUGAAAAACUGACUUUAACGUUGACGUAUUCAUUUUUAAAUAUUUGGUUCAAUUAGAAAAGCAUGGUUAAUUAUUUAACUUUUUAAGAGUGUAAAAACUGAACUGAUAUAAUUUGUAGAACUACUGUAAAUACACUGUCAGCCACUCAAAUUUGCUAUACCUGAAACAAAUGCAGAUUUAUGGAGGAGUUCAUUAAUGACUUAUUUUAGAUUAGAAAUUUGAUUACAUUAACAGAAUGAAUUUGCUAUGAACUACAAACUCAAAGCCUGUUCUGUAAAAAUUACAUAAAUCUAAUGUGCAACAGUAAAUACGAGAGAAACAUAAUGCUGCCUGGAUUACAUUUUUUAAGCAACAUAAUAAGUAAAUGUUAAUCAAUGUUUUGCAAAGCUACAGAAUGUUCAUACUGAAAGUAUCUGCUAAACAUUCACAUUGACAAUGUAUUUAUUUUGUUUUCCUACAUUAUGGCAAUACAAUUAAUGCUUUUAUGGUUAUGUUUCGGCAACUCAAAGCACUUGGUUAAGAUAUGGGAAAGAUUAUCAAUUUGGUUAAAUAAAUAUAAAACAAAACAUCCUAUCUUGUGUCAAGGCCCCCCAGGCCCCUUCAUUGCCAUUUUCCUUCCAUCCACCAGGUGCCCUCGGACUUUCCCUCCUUUCCCCAUCACCUGACUGCCCCACCCCUCUUCACACCUGUUCCCACUUUCCUCAUCUGCUCUGCAAUUGCCUGGCCUUCCCCACCCACCUCCUCACCUGUUUCCGUUUUCCAGUGUCAGCCCUGCGGUACUUAACCAGCCCUUUUCCCUUCACUCCUUGUCAGUUCAUGCUAGUUGUUUUGUUGGUUUCUUGCUGUUACUUGAUGUUUGGCCUGCAGAAUAUAGCCUUGUGUAUAGGAAUAUUGUUGUCCGUGAACAUAAUCCACAGAGCAAUUCUUUUCUCUCCAAAAAAAAAGGUACAGGUGUAGGUCCAGGUAACAAUCAGCUCAAAGCAAAAUCCAACAUUGCAACUGGGAUAAACUGACAAAGAACAAAUGAGACACACACGAAGGACAACUGGACACAGGUGAAACUAAUCAGGGCGGGGCAGACAAUCAAAACUGGAGGGAAAAGAGACAAAGGCAGGAAGUAACACACAAAAUACAAGAGCAGAGCAAGUAAUCAGAGACGAGAGUUUUUAUCAUCCACAAGACCAAAUCCAGAACUCCAUCACGAAUUUGACAGAAGCAAAUGUUUGACAAGCUACUAAACUGAAGGGGAGCCACCUGCGGCACCGGCACUCUGGAAAAUGCUACAUAUGUAACAACAUGUUUAUUCCAAAAACAAAGUCUGUAAAGGGAACGAUUUAAUGACAAUUUAAUGUGUUUUUAUGUUGACAAAUUGUAAAAGAUUUAACCGCCACUUUAAAACUGAAUAAAAUAUAUUUCAG